AGAGGGCAUCAGAUCCCUUGACCUGAAGUUACAGAACAGCUAUGGACUUCCUGCCUACACGCUGAGGGAAGGCUGAGUGCCACCCUCACCUCACAGGUGAACCAAAUCAAUGCAAAGCACCGUGAAGGAACGCAGCCAGCACAGCGAGCCCUCUGCCAACAUGGGCAGCUGCUGUGCUGAGCCCCUCCUAUACUCCCCUCUAUUUCGAGAAGAGAAUGACUUUCUUUUCCACCUGCGUUCACAAUGCUAAGACAGGAGGCUCCACCCAGCAGCUGACUCAGAC
rnacentral:sRNA from 1 species